UUUGUUGUCAAACAAGCUGAAGUUGGAAGCUGAUUGGCUACCGUGCACAGCUGCACCAGAUUUUGCACUCCGAUAUUUAGUAAAUCGAUCCCCAUGUUACAAAGUGUUUACCUUCUAUAGAAAAAAAGGUGAACUAACACCGUACAGGCUGCUCUCCUUAUAAAGACUGCAUUUCCUGUCCCUGUAUGGCCACAUCACUCCUCCACUGUAUCUAUGGAGGCAGCCGUGGUUGUUACCCUAGGCUCAUCUCAUGCUUGUAGUCUCUAGCAGGUUUGUAUCUCUUCAUCUCCGUUACAUCGGGGAGCAGGGCAAUCGGCAAUUUACAGAAGAUAGCAAGUAAGGAAGUGAUUCUUUGGUGCAGCUCACAGCAAGUGACGAGGACGCUGCAUUUCCAGCAGGAUCAACAGGUAUUUUCUGUACUUGCUGAAAAUGUUAGCUUAAAGAAGAAAACGAAUGCAGUCACACGACCACCUUAUUCGUUGUAGGGGCUUUGCUCAGACAUGACCAAUCUGAAAAAUGUCAAGAUGAGGCAGGCACCCUUCCCAGUCUGACAGCCAGGUUUUCCCGUAGGAGCUACUCUCAGUCAAUGCAACGAUCUGUCCAAUCAAAACGAUUGAACCAAUGGUGGCAGGUGCUGAUGAUGCCUAGACCAUGGGUGCUCAACCUGUGGCCCUCCAGCUGUUUUGGAACUACAAGUCCCAUCAUGCUUUAGCCUUUGGGGGCCAUGCAUGCAACUUGUCAGCCUUGCAAUGCGUCAUGGGACUUGUAGUUCCUAAACAGCUGGAGGGCCACCGGUUAAGCACCCAUGUCCUAGACCAGGCGAGGGCAAACUCGGCCCUCCUGAAACUACAAGUCCCAUGAGACAUUGCAAGACCCUGACAAUCACAGGCAUGACUCCUAGAGGCAGAGGCAUGAUGGGAUUUGCAGUUUCACCACAGCUGGAGGGCCGAGAUUGCCCACCCCUGGCCUAGACCCAUAUAUGGUCACCUGGGAGGGCAUCUGCCCAAUCAGGUGGUGCUGCAUGUGACAUGGGGUAGAUAAUGACAUCAGCAGCUCCUCCUAUCAGCCUCCCAGCUGCCUGAUUGUCAUUGCUGGCAGGGUAGACCAGGAAGGAUGCUAAGGUCAUGUCAUUGCUGGUAGGGUAGACCAGGAAGGAUGCUAAGGUCAUGUCAUUGCUGGUAGGGUAGACCAGGAAGGAUGCUAAGGUCAUGUCAUUGCUGGCAGGGUAGACCAGGAAGGAUGCUAAGGUCAUGUCAUUGCUGGUAGGGUAGACCAGGAAGGAUGCUAAGGUCAUGUCAUUGCUGGUAGGGUAGACCAGGAAGGAUGCUAAGGUCAUGUCAUUGCUGGUAGGGUAGACCAGGAAGGAUGCUAAGGUCAUGUCAUUGCUGGUAGGGUAGACCAGGAAGGAUGCUAAGGUCAUGUCAUUGCUGGUAGGGUAGACCAGGAAGGAUGCUAAGGUCAUGUCAUUGCUGGUAGGGUAGACCAGGAAGGAUGCUAAGGCCAUGUCAUUGCUGGUAGGGUAGACCAGGAAGGAUGCUAAGGUCAUGUCAUUGCUGGUAGGGUAGACCAGGAAGGAUGCUAAGGUCAUGUCAUUGCUGGUAGGGUAGACCAGGAAGGAUGCUAAGGUCAUGUGACGGUAUAUGUCUUGGUCCCGCCCACCACCCAGGCAGUUCAGAGUCCAGUGUAAGCAAGGUGGUCACCUGACCCAUGGGGAAGUCUUAGUCCAAUGUUGAAAACGAAAAAUGCCUUUGCAACAUUGCAGAGGCGCAGGGAAGUCACUGGCCUCCUAUGCACGUUUUUUAUUAUCAAAAGUGAAAUUGGUAUUUUAAGCAAAACAGAAUGACUGUGCCUCUCUGUCGUUUUAUAUGCAAUUAAAAGGAUUUUAGCCAUC